GCGUUCUUGCCCCUCCCAGGCCGAGAUGGUUGGGGGACAAAGGGUUUUGUGGGGGAAGCAACCGUACUCUCCAGGCCCAGCUAAGGCGCCCAGGCCGCGGCCUGGGGGGAUUUCGGGGGACCCCAGGUAGCCUGCCGCGGGGCGAUGGGGGCGUGACGAGGCCGGUCCAGCCGCAGGGGGAGGUACCCCUCCCGAGCCACCGCCCGCCGCGGCCCCUCCCUUCCAGGAGCCGGGAGGGAGUCCUGGGCUUUGAUUGGGCGGCGCCGGAGGGGGGCCGCGCGGCCAGGCCAAUGAGCGAGCGCCGAGCGCGGCGGCUGGCUGGGGAGCGAGCGCCGCUUGGAGCCCAGGGGCCGGAGGACUGAGCUCCGUGAUCUCGGCCCUGGAUAGGCGGGCGGGGCGGGAUGCGCGCCGCGGGAGCGAGCCUGGCCGUCCUCAGGACCGCGGAGACUGUCGCUGGGCGCCGAGAUGCGGACACUGAGGUCUAGAGGGCUGGUGUGCAGCAGAGCCAGAUGAGUUCCUGGAAUUCCUUUAGUUAGUAGGGAGACCUGAGUUUGGAUGCUGGCAACCCAGGCAGAGGGAACAGGCCAGGUUCCCAAUAAGGCUGCACAGAGCAACCCACUGACUGUGGCAAUGGAGGGGGGCCCAGCGGUCUGCUGCCAGGACCCUCGGGCAGAGUUGGUGGAGCGAGUGGCAGCCAUGGAUGUGGCCCGCUUGGAGGAGACGGAUGGCAGCCCAGAGCCCACCAGGAACUGUGUGGACCCUUCACCUCGGGCCAGAGCUGCCUCCGUGAUCCCCGGCGGUACUUCAAGAUGCCCCGCCGCCCGGCCCGGCCUCUCGGCUAGGAAGUUCUCCCUGCAGGAGCGGCCAGUGGGGAGCUGCCUGGAGGCCCAGGCUGGGCCUUACGCCACAGGGCCUGCCAGCCACAUCUCCCCACGGGCAUGGCGCAGGCCCACCAUCGAGUCCCACCAUGUGGCCAUCUCGGACGCAGAGGACUGUGUGCAGCUGAACCAGUACAAGCUGCAGAGUGAGAUUGGCAAGGGUGCCUAUGGCGUGGUGAGGCUGGCCUACAACGAAAGUGAAGACAGGCAUUAUGCAAUGAAAGUUCUUUCCAAGAAGAAGUUACUGAAGCAGUAUGGCUUUCCACGUCGCCCUCCCCCUAGAGGGUCCCAGGCUGCCCAGGGAGGACCAGCCAAGCAGCUGCUGCCCCUGGAGCGGGUGUAUCAGGAGAUUGCCAUCCUGAAGAAGCUGGACCACGUGAAUGUGGUCAAGCUGAUCGAGGUCCUGGAUGACCCAGCUGAGGACAAUCUCUAUUUGGUGUUUGACCUCCUGAGAAAGGGGCCGGUCAUGGAAGUGCCCUGCGACAAGCCCUUCCCCGAGGAGCAAGCUCGUCUCUACCUGAGGGACAUCAUCCUGGGUCUUGAGUACUUGCACUACCAGAAGAUCAUCCACAGGGACAUCAAGCCAUCCAACCUGCUCCUGGGGGACGACGGGCACGUGAAGAUCGCCGACUUCGGCGUCAGCAACCAGUUUGAGGGGAACGACGCUCGGCUGUCCAGCACGGCCGGGACCCCAGCGUUCAUGGCCCCCGAGGCCAUUUCUGAGUCCGGCCAGAGCUUCAGUGGGAAGGCCUUGGACGUGUGGGCCACAGGGGUCACGCUGUACUGCUUUGUCUAUGGGAAGUGCCCGUUCAUCGAUGAUUUCAUCCUGGCCCUGCACCGCAAGAUCAAGAAUGAGGCCAUCGUGUUCCCGGAGGAGCCAGAGGUCAGCGAAGAGCUCAAGGACUUAAUCCUGAAGAUGCUAGACAAGAACCCUGAAACAAGACUUGGGGUGCCAGACAUCAAGUUGCACCCCUGGGUGACCAAGAAUGGGGAGGAGCCCCUCCCCUCGGAGGAGGAGCACUGCACCGUGGUGGAGGUGACCGAGGAGGAGGUGAAGAACUCAGUCAGGCUCAUCCCCAGCUGGACCACAGUGAUCCUGGUUAAGUCCAUGCUGAGAAAGCGUUCCUUUGGGAACCCGUUUGAGCCCCAGGCGCGGAGAGAAGAGCGAUCCAUGUCUGCCCCGGGAAGCUUAUCGUCCCACUCCUUGCUCCCCACGGCUCUUCAGACUCACCCACGCCUCCCGGACUCGGCUAUCCCCCAUCCCCGCCUCUGUUCGUCAGUGCCGGCCCCACCCUCCAAGGCCUAUUCUGCAGCUGCGUUGGUCACCAAACCUUGUGCCUGGCUUUGACAGUACAGAUUGUCACGCACGGGAGCUUCGAAUAGGACCACGAUGUCAUUUCGCCACGAGGACAACCACUCUACGUGGCACGCUGAGGCCCCCACCACCUCCAGGUCACCUCCUCCAGGAAGCCUUCCCUGGUCCACAGCCCCAGAGGCACCCUUGGCAUGUGGUCUGGUGUCUGGUUCAUCUCCUAUAAGACUGGAAGCAGGGCCCAGGGAUUGCAGCCUUACCUACCGGCUGAGUCACUUUCACAACUUGCUAUCUGUCCACUCACUGAUCCGCCAUGAUGAAGACCAUUGGAAAAGCAUCUCUCAACUGAAUCGCAAGAGUGGGACUUUCCCUCUGGGAACCCCAUUCUCUCCACCUGAUCCCUAGUAAGCCUCUUCCCUGGCCUGUAUAUCUCUGGCCUUUUCUGGUCUUCCCUCCCUGCUCCUCAGCCUGCGAACUAGCUCAGGUCUUCCCUUAACUAUUUCUCAAUUUCCACCCCCUUGGCUUUCUGAAGGCUGCUGUCCCACACUCCCAGGCAUACAGGAAGAACCCCUCCUGGCUUCUCUCUCAGAUGCCCUCUGCGCAGACUCCUUCUUCCCUUACUUCCUGGCUCACUCUGUCCAGUCCCCAGCAGCGCUGGUCCCUGCUUAUUCCAGUCACAGUCCAUGCUAUUGGCUGAUGCUCUCUGCACUGAGAGCCCUUUGACAACCCCUCCCCCCAGUCCUUUGGUCUCCCCAAGACCCUCCCUUCCCCAUGGCCUAGGCACAGGUCCACACUGAAGGAAUGGAGCCGCAACAUGGGAAGGGGCAGUUAAACUUCCUCGCCCUCGGUCUCCCCCAAGCGCAGGGGAUCAGCCUUGAGGCACAGAGAUUUCACCGGAGAGGAUCCACAUGCCCUCAGGUGCUCUCGUCUUCUUUCAGGUAAUCUUGCCAACAUCCACCCACCUCCCUGGGAAAUGCACCCCAAAGCUGAGAGAGGGUUCCCAGCUGUAGUCUGCCCUCUCCCACUGCCAAUUCAGCCUAAACAUCAGUUAUCAACCUGGCUACAUGCUAAAAUCUCCUAGGGAGCUUUUUUUUUUUUUUUUUUUUUUUUUUUUUGGCAGUACGCGCGCGGGCCUCUCACUGCCGUGGCCUCUCCCGUUGCGGAGCACAGGCUCCGGACGCGCAGGCCCAGCGGCCAUGGCUCACGGGCCCAGCCGCUCCGUGGCACGUGGGAUCCUCCCGGACCGGGGCACGAACCCGCAUCCCCUGCAUCGGCAGGCAGACCGGGGAAGCCCUGCUAGGGAGCUUUUAAAAAAUAAUCCACCCUUGGAGAUUCUGAUUUAUUUUGGUCUGGGAUGUAGUCUGGGUGUCAAGGUUUUGUUGUUGUUGUUUUAACAAACAGACUUUAUUUUUUGGAACAGUUUUAGGUUGACAGAAAAAAUGAGUAGAAAGUACAGAGUCCCAUACACGCUCUCACCUGCCUCUCCCACCCCUCAGUUUCCCCUGUUAGUAACAUUUGCCUUAGUGUGGUACUUUUUUUUUUUUAAAGGUGGAUAUAUGACAUUAUGUUUUUUUAAAAAAUGUCAUUUAUUUAUUUAUUUUUGGCUGCAUUGGGUCUUUGUUGCUGUGCGUGGGCUUUCUCUAGUUGCGGUAAGGGGGGGCUUCUCUUUUUGCAGAGCAUGGGCUCUAGGCGUGCGGGCUUCAGUAGUUGUGGCACGCAGGCUCAGUAGUUGUGGCUCGCGGGCUCCAGAGUGCAGGAUCAGUAGUUGGGGUGCAUGGAAUCAGUUGCUCCGCGGCAUGUGGGACCUUCCCGGACCAGGGCUCG